AUACAGAGGGUGCAAGCGUUAAUCGGAUUUACUGGGCGUAAAGCGCGCGUAGGUGGCUAAUUAAGUCAAAUGUGAAAUCCACGAGCUUAACUUGGGAAUUGCAUUCGAUACUGGUUAGCUAGAGUAUGGGAGAGGAUGGUAGAAUUCAUGGUGUAGCGGUGAAAUGCGUAGAGAUCUGGAGGAAUACCGAUGGCGAAGGCAGCCAUCUGGCCUAAUACUGACACUGAGGUGCGAAAGCAUGGGGAGCAAACAGGAUUAGAUACCCUGGUAGUCCAUGCCGUAAACGAUGUCUACUAGCCGUUGGGGCCCUUGAGGCUUUAGUGGCGCAGCUAACGCGAUAAGUAGACCGCCUGGGGAGUACGGUCGCAAGACUAAAACUCAAAUGAAUUGGCGGGG
rnacentral:rRNA from 1 species